rnacentral:rRNA from 1 species
UGUGUAGGCGGUUAUUUAAGUUUGGUGUGAAAUCUCCCGGCUCAACCGGGAGGGUGCGCCGAAUACUGAAUGACUUGGAGUGCGGGAGAGGAAAGUGGAAUUCCUGGUGUAGCGGUGAAAUGCGUAGAUAUCAGGAGGAACACCGGUGGUGUAGACGGCUUUCUGGACCGUAACUGACGCUGAGACACGAAAGCGUGGGUAGCAAACA